rnacentral:rRNA from 1 species
UACUCGAGUGGCGAACGGGUGAGUAACACGUGGGUGAUCUGCCCUGCACUUCGGGAUAAGCCUGGGAAACUGGGUCUAAUGCCGGAUAGGAGCCAUUUUUAGUGUGAUGGUUGGAAAGUUUUUUCGGUGUAGGAUGAGCUCGCGGCCUAUCAGCUUGUUGGUGGGGUAAUGGCCUACCAAGGCGGCGACGGGUAGCCGGCCCGAGAGGGUGGACGGCCACAUUGGGACUGAGAUACGGCCCAG